rnacentral:rRNA from 2 species
GCGGUGGUCCCACCUGACCCCAUGCCGAACUCAGCAGUGAAACGCCGUAGCGCCGAUGGUAGUGUGGGGUCUCCCCAUGUGAGAGUAGGGAACUGCCAGACA